ensembl:lncRNA
UUUUUUUUUUUCAAAAGUCUAUUUUUCACUUUAAUUUUGGUUUUCAGAAAUUAUUGUUUUUUAAUAUUUAGUUUCCAUUUAAGUUUUAAGUUACAUUUUAAGUUUAGUUAUAAUAACCAUGGUAUGACGGUUAUAAGUUUCCUUUUUUUAAUCUUUAUUAAAUAUGCAAAAGAUAUUUUAUAAAGAAAUCGGUGAAUCAUGACACUAAACAAGAGGCAGCAAUGAAUAUCUGAGGCAGCUGUGGAGGUGGAGCCUGGUUAACGGUUAAAUGUGAAGGUCAGUGGUUCAGCCUCUGGCUCCAUUUUGAAAUUUCUUUGGGCGACAGACUGAACUUUGAAUUGUCCCUAAUGCACCUGUUUAAAUGUUAGGUUAAAAGUGCUUACGUAUGUGAAGAAGAAAAAAUGUGUGAAUGAGGCUACAGGAACCAGCUGGUCAGCACAGACGCCUGCAACGAAAACAUGGUGAGCUAUGGAGUCAGGAACAGCAUCGCUGCCUACCUGUCCUUUGCUGGCGAUCAAGACCCUUCACAGGUGAAAUCAGAUAGCAGGAAGAAGAAAAGCAAAUCGCUGUAUGUGCUUCCUGAAAAUGGCCUUCCGAACACUGACUAUGACGAGGACUUCUAGAUGCAACAGUGAAGCUAAAAAGACCGGACUAUUUUUAAGUGGAGGCCAGUAGACAACUUCCUCUGAAAUCUACUAACGAUUCCUUCAGAGCCAGCAGAGAACAGUACUGAGCCGAAACUAUUACCCCAAAACAUCGAGGCGUUUCAUUGUUUCUACUUUGAGCACUUUGAAGUACUUUUAACAAUAACGCAAAUCGCAUGACCAAUUACACUUGUGAAGUAGUUGAACUGGAUGACGGUGCAAUUUAGAUGUGAAUACCCGAACGCAGGGCGGAAAAACAAAGCUUGGCAUUAUGGUGUGAUGAGUGAUGUGGGAUAGAUUCUAAUUAUAUGCAUAUGACUUUUUGUGGCUUUCAAACUAUUUUAAGUUUUAUUACUAUGGUAAAAUGGUCAUAUUGAGACACAGGCAAACUCAGAUCAUUUGAAUUUGGGGGCUAAAUUGAUGCAUUGAAGAUGAAGAUCAUAUAAUGAGUGUGUCUCAACCAGUGAUUUAUUCACACACAAAUAUAGGGGGGAUUGAGCGAAAUGUGGCUUCCUCUUAUAGUUGCCAUCCUACGAUUUGUCAUUCAAUAUUAAUUCUCACUAUGAGAUUCACUACACAAGCCAGUGUCGCAGUUAUCAACAACCAACCUCUAAUUAAUGGCUUUCAUUGUGGUGUGACCCACCGAUCAAGAGAGUGAGACCAUGUGUAUAGACAGAGGUUGUAAAAAAUAUAAUCCGCUUUAGUAAUUUGAGUGAACUGGCCCUUUAAAUAUCCCCAGAGGGUGGAAAAUAAUCACUUCUGUGAAGCACGAUAAGGCUCCAAAUGGUUUAUCAAUAAUAUAUGCUGUGUGGGUUGUUCACAAAAUAGUUUUUUUUCUUCUUCUUGUAAUUUUCUUUUAGUUUAUUAAUGUUUCCUAAACACUGAAAUGUAUGUUCCUGUGUAAUAAUUUAUCUAACUUGAGCAACUCAGGUUACAAAUAUCGUUACCGGGCUUGGUAACAAUAUUUUAGUGUUACUAGUGCAACAGGAUCGUGUGAAUACUGUAUAUAAUUAAUAUGUACCAGUUAUCAUGUUUCAUGUAUCAAUCAAUUACAGGUAUGGCUGUUAUGGUAAUAGUCUGAUGCUUUUUUGCCUUAUGUUUUAUUUAAUGUUUCAUGGGAAUAAAGACCAGUCAACUGCAAUACUAACCAUUAGAGAGGUCACAGUAUUUCUGGUAAACAUCGGUGUACUGCAUGUUUAAAUUUAAGCAGAAAAACACGCACAUGACCUAAAAGUAAGACAAAAAUAUCCCACCAGCUGUGAAGGUGUGUGAAGCUCAGGACUCAACCCGAGGACGACUGCUGCGUAUAAAAACCCCAAAAACAACAACAUCAAAAAAGCAUAUUGUGAUUCAAGGUUAGGUUUACUGUUAACGUAACAGUUCACUGAACCAAAUUAGCGAAUAGUCAUCAAUUAGUUUCAUUACCAAUCUCUUAUCAUCAUGCUUGUCUGUGCACCAUUUGCAACUCAUGCAUAUAUUUUGCACUUUCUGCACCAGUGCUGAAAAAUGGAGAGAAAAAAGAUAUAAAAAAAAAAAAAAGACUGCCCCUUUUGAGAAAAUGAGCUGUUAACCAAAUAGAAAGGGAUUUGGGCUUCCCCCUAUUUAGCAUGAGAUUUCUUUAGGCAAAUGUGAGCCCAUGAGAACAAAAGUCAAAGCAUCCUGUUUUUCAUUCACCCUCUCAGAUUUAAUACUGUACCCACUGUUCAUCUGAUGUGGCGGCAUGAUGGGAAAUUUCUGAGAACUUCUGAAUUCUGAUUUCUUCACAAACACACAGUCGGCCUAUUGACAUUUGCUCAACUUCCGCUAUUCUGCAA